rnacentral:rRNA from 1 species
GAUUCCCCUAGUAACUGCGAGUGAAGCGGGAAAAGCUCAAAUUUAAAAUCUGGCGGUCUUUGGCCCGUCCGAGUUGUAGUCUGGAGAAGUGCUUUCCGCGCUGGACCGUGUAUAAGUCUCUUGGAACAGAGCGUCAUAGAGGGUGAGAAUCCCGUCUUUGACACGGACUACCAGUGCUUUGUGAUGCGCUCUCAAAGAGUCGAGUUGUUUGGGAAUGCAGCUCAAAAUGGGUGGUGAAUUCCAUCUAAAGCUAAAUAUUGGCGAGAGACCGAUAGCGAACAAGUACCGUGAGGGAAAGAUGAAAAGCACUUUGGAAAGAGAGUUAAACAGUACGUGAAAUUGCUGAAAGGGAAACGCUUGAAGUCAGUCGCGUCUGCCGGAACUCAGCCUUCCUUUUGGUUGGUGCACUUUCCGGUAGACGGGCCAGCAUCGAUUUCGACCGUCGGAAAAGGGCUGGGGAAAUGUGGCACCUUUCGGGGUGUGUUAUAGUCCUCAGUCGCAUACGUCGGUUGGGAUCGAGGAUCGCAGCGCGCCGCAAGGCAGGGGUUCGCCCACUUUCGCGCUUAGGAUGCUGGCAUAAUGGCUUUAAACGACCCGUCUUGAAACACGGACCAAGGAGUCUAACAAACCUGCGAGUGUUUGGGUGGAAAACCCGAGCGCGUAAUGAAAGUGAAAGUUGAGACCUCUGUCGUGGAGGGCAUCGACGCCCGGACCUGACGUUCUCUGACGGAUCCGCGGUAGAGCAUGUUUGUUGGGACCCGAAAGAUGGUGACCUAUGCCUGAAUAGGGUGAAGCCAGAGGAAACUCUGGUGGAGGCUCGUAGCGAUUCUGACGUGCAAAUCGAUCGUCAAAUUUGGGUAUAGGGGCGAAAGACUAAUCGAACCAU